CAUAAGCCUACAUUUCAAAAGUCAGCUUCGACUAUGCUAAGCAAAGAAUGUCUUACCUUUUGGAUUCUGGGUAUCAAGGCAUCUUUGUAGUUUUAAGUUAUUUCCGAAUUGGUACAAAAAUAGCUUUGAUGCGGUUGCAAUUGCUAAUCUUAGAUAUGUUAGUUGUUAAUAAGACGACAAGCAAUAUAAAAGAGAAGAACGUACAAUUUCCCAUCGAAACAUAUUCCUUUUAUUUCAAAAUUCAAUUCAAGCUCUUUUACCGGCCUCUCUUUCACAUCAUCCCAAACAAUAAGCUGUAAACAAGCUUAGCUAAAAGAAAACAAAGCAUUACUCAAACUUACCUUAUUUGGUGCGUAUUUUGGAUUUCCACCGCCGCCUACUAAGAGUAAAACAUUGCUUCUAAAAAGCAUUUUGACUAUUGAAAGACCACCGUCAUUGAACUCUAGACAAUUGUAAAUAUUCAAAUAAGAGAUCUGCAUAUUGCAAAACUUACGUCUUUGAGCGCGCAGCUUUAGAGGGUUAAUUUGAAAGAUUUUAUAGCCUGUAUCUAGCGCAACAGACAUGCAUGAGGCAUCUUGAUUUAAUGAUACAGUAUUAAUAGUUGACAUUCCAAUUUGUGGGGUUUAUGCAUUAUGCAAAACUACUUUAGAUUGUUCUCGGUGAAUUCGGUAAAUUACACACCGUCAAUUAUACAAUUCAUCACUUUCUUUAGAAAACACAACCUUUUUACUAGGCAUAAUAAUGUAUUAGUUCAACAACA